rnacentral:rRNA from 1 species
AUACGGAGGGGGCUAGCGUUGUUCGGAAUUACUGGGCGUCAAGCGCGCGUAGGCGGCUUAUCAAGUUAGGCGUGAAAGGCCUGGGCUCAACCCGGGAACUGCGCUUAAUACUGGUAGGCUUGAGUCCGGGAGAGGGUGGCGGAAUUCCCAGUGUAGAGGUGAAAUUCGUAGAUAUUGGGAAGAACACCAGUGGCGAAGGCGGCCACCUGGCCCGGUACUGACGCUGAGGUGCGAAAGCGUGGGGAGCAAACAGGAUUAGAAACCCCAGUAGUCC